UCAUUCAUACCCAGUAGGGAAUAAGAUUUCUAAAAAAUGAAAGGAGAUCACGAUCAUGUGACUAGGAAAUUCGAAUAUGUAAAACAUAAAUUUGUCUGAUUUCGAAUUAUCAUGCAAGAUCUUACAAAAUCAAAUAAAAAAACUCAUUCUGGUUAGAAAAGGUUUAUAUAUUUAUUUUCCUGCUAAGUACAAGAAACAUUAUGGAAUACAGAGAAAAGAGCUAGUGGUGAUAAUGUAUUCUCAUUUCUAGAUAUGAAUCAGAAGGGAAGUGUUUUAUACUUUUUGUUCUAACAAUUGCAUAAACAUCAAUUCUGAUAUUUUCCUGUUAGUCAAAAUGAAAAUUAUUAGUUCCAGCUUUCAUGGCUUUUUAUAAGAUAGUUCAGGUUGAAAUUAACUGAUGAGACAGUCAAAAUGACAAUUCUAGUACAUUCCAAAGAAACUCAGAUAGGAUAUAAAUUUUGAAUGAGAUGUCCUCACACAAAAUAAUCUAAAGGGUUCAAAUCAGGCGAUCAUGGUGGCCAGCCAACCAGUAGAGCCUUCACGACCAAUCCAUCUGUUCGGAUAAUUUACAUCCUAGUGAUUUCUCACAUUCAAUGCAAAGUGUGGUUCAAAAGUUGAUAUUUCUAAGAUUUAGUGUGAUCCGAGGUAUAUUUACAGUUUUCAUUCAUUUAUUAGAAAUUGUCAUUUAGUUCAAUAAUAUAAUUGCAGUUUUCAUUCAUUAAA